rnacentral:rRNA from 1 species
UACAGGCUUAACACAUGCAAGUCGAGGGGCAGCAUUUUAGUUUGCUUGCAAACUAAAGAUGGCGACCGGCGCACGGGUGAGUAACACGUAUCCAACCUGCCGAUAACUCGGGGAUAGCCUUUCGAAAGAAAGAUUAAUAUCCGAUAGUAUAUUAAAACCGCAUGGUUUUACUAUUAAAGAAUUUCGGUUAUCGAUGGGGAUGCGUUCCAUUAGUUUGUUGGCGGGGUAACGGCCCACCAAGACUACGAUGGAUAGGGGUUCUGAGAGGAAGGUCCCCCACAUUGGAACUGAGACACGGUCCAAACUCCUACGGGAGGCAGCAGUGAGGAAUAUUGGUCAAUGGACGAGAGUCUGAACCAGCCAAGUAGCGUGAAGGAUGACUGCCCUAUGGGUUGUAAACUUCUUUUAUAUGGGAAUAAAGUAUUCCACGUGUGGGAUUUUGUAUGUACCAUAUGAAUAAGGAUCGGCUAACUCCGUGCCAGCAGCCGCGGUAAUACGGAGGAUCCGAGCGUUAUCCGGAUUUAUUGGGUUUAAAGGGAGCGUAGGUGGAUUGUUAAGUCAGUUGUGAAAGUUUGCGGCUCAACCGUAAAAUUGCAGUUGAAACUGGCAGUCUUGAGUACAGUAGAGGUGGGCGGAAUUCGUGGUGUAGCGGUGAAAUGCUUAGAUAUCACGAAGAACUCCGAUUGCGAAGGCAGCUCACUAGACUGCAACUGACACUGAUGCUCGAAAGUGUGGGUAUCAAACAGGAUUAGAUACCCUGGUAGUCCACACAGUAAACGAUGAAUACUCGCUGUUUGCGAUAUACAGUAAGCGGCCAAGCGAAAGCAUUAAGUAUUCCACCUGGGGAGUACGCCGGCAACGGUGAAACUCAAAGGAAUUGACGGGGGCCCGCACAAGCGGAGGAACAUGUGGUUUAAUUCGAUGAUACGCGAGGAACCUUACCCGGGCUUAAAUUGCAUUUGAAUAAUCUGGAAACAGGUUAGCCGCAAGGCAAAUGUGAAGGUGCUGCAUGGUUGUCGUCAGCUCGUGCCGUGAGGUGUCGGCUUAAGUGCCAUAACGAGCGCAACCCUUAUCUUUAGUUACUAACAGGUCAUGCUGAAGACUCUAGAGAGACUGCCGUCGUAAGAUGUGAGGAAGGUGGGGAUGACGUCAAAUCAGCACGGCCCUUACGUCCGGGGCUACACACGUGUUACAAUGGGGGGUACAGAAGGCAGCUACCUGGCGACAGGAUGCUAAUCCCAAAAACCUCUCUCAGUUCGGAUCGAAGUCUGCAACCCGACUUCGUGAAGCUGGAUUCGCUAGUAAUCGCGCAUCAGCCAUGGCGCGGUGAAUACGUUCCCGGGCCUUGUACACACCGCCCGUCAAGCCAUGAAAGCCGGGGGUACCUGAAGUACGUAAAGGUAAGGAGCGUCCUAGGGUAAAACUGGUAAU